rnacentral:tRNA from 1 species
GGGCCCGUAGCCUAGCCUGGAUAAGGCGACAGCCUUCUAAGCUGUAGAUCGAGGGACUCUGUAAGUAUUAACUUACAAUGCUCGAAUUCGAAUCCCUCCGGGCCCG